GCGUUUGCACUGUGAGGGAGCUACAAUUGCUGGUACCAUCAGAAGACACCUGUUGAGUGUGUUUUAUGUCUUCUGCAGGAAUAAAUCGUGAAAAGCCAAUCCUGCUGAG